rnacentral:tRNA from 1 species
GGAAGGGUGGCAGAGUGGUUGAAUGCACCGGUCUUGAAAACCGGCAUGCGUGUGAGCGUAUCGAGGGUUCGAAUCCCUCCCCUUCCGCCA